GACGAACGCUGGCGGCGUGCCUAAUACAUGCAAGUCGAGCGAAGUUUUUCUGGUGCUUGCACUAGAAAAACUUAGCGGCGAACGGGUGAGUAACACGUAAAGAACCUGCCUCAUAGACUGGGACAACUAUUGGAAACGAUAGCUAAUACCGGAUAACAGCAUUAACUGCAUGGUUGAUGUUUAAAAGUUGGUUUUGCUAACACUAUGAGAUGGCUUUGCGGUGCAUUAGCUAGUUGGUGGGGUAAAGGCCUACCAAGGCGACGAUGCAUAGCCGACCUGAGAGGGUGAUCGGCCACACUGGGACUGAGACACGGCCCAGACUCCUACGGGAGGCAGCAGUAGGGAAUCUUCCGCAAUGGGCGAAAGCCUGACGGAGCAACGCCGCGUGAGUGAAGAAGGAUUUCGGUUCGUAAAGCUCUGUUGUUAGGGAAGAAUGAUUGUGUAGUAACUACACACAGUAGAGACGGUACCUAAACAGAAAGCCACGGCUAACUACGUG
rnacentral:rRNA from 1 species